CGAGGUCUACCAUGGGUGUGCCCCGCCCCAGUUUGUUGGGCAAACAAAGCCAGUUGGGCAGUAUUGGCUUAUUAUUCUGUCAAUUUUGUGGGAAAUAUGCUAUCUAAUAGGAAUUUUUCGUAGCAUCCUCCCCCCCCCUGUUGACAACAAUUUCGGAAAGUUUCUCUGCAAAUUUUUUUUUGACAACUCGGGCACAAUCCGAAAAAGUCAGGCAAAUUUCUUUCCGUCCACCUAAUUUUUUCCUUCCUGUAUGCCCAUGCUGAGGGUACAGUCACUAGUGGGGACAGAGUUGGGGUAAGGUUGGGGGCACCGACCCCCAGGAUAUUUCGAGAUUUUUGGCCUUGUUUUAAGUCUUAUUUAGUUCUUAUUUAGUUCAAUUAUACUGCUGUCAUUUAAUCAAACCAGCAUUUAAAUUUCUGGGGCGGGUGCAAAUAUCUCUAGGUGGGGUGGGAAAACUUUCUGAGGUGGUGAAAAUAUUUUUGGGGGUGCACACCACCUGCAUCCCCCCAAAAAAUCCAUCUAUGAUUGCCAUCAGAUAAUUAAGUUACUGUGGUAUUAAUUAUUAUGACUUCGCUUUUGGUUAUAUUCUGUAUUUUAAUGCCUUGUCCCAUCAACUCUCAUGUUCUGUGAUGCCUGCAAUAUAACCGAUAAUUCCUGCAAGACAAAAGACAACAAUCAUAUUACACUAAUAUUAUUACACAUUUUCCCACCUCAAAAACAGCAUUUAUUAUCAAAAUUGUGGAUACUUCUUC